UAGGGGUUUGGGAAAUUAAAAGAAUACAAUGUAUCAAUUUGUAAUAAGUAAAUGAUGUAAUAACUUAAUUGCAUUUGGGAGUUGGAUGUAAAGUAAAUGUAUUAUUGUGAAUGCAUGUAAUAACAUAGGAUGUGUUAUGUUAUGAUACUUUCCUCAUGCAAUUAUGAUUGAUAUCUAUUCCUGGUUGGAACCCUUGUAAUGUUCAUUGUAUUGAUUGCGACGCCUAGGACGUACAGGGGAAACUCUGUCCGUUCGGCGGUCUGUCGACGCGCCCGAACUCGGCCAAAUAGGUGGGGCUCAGGGCGUGACAGUUAAAGUGGUAUCAUAGCAUAAAGUAGAGAAUGGGCAAUGGUUUAGAUAGAACUAGGGGACCCUAGGAUAGUAAACCAUAGGAGAAUAAGGCUCGUGAGAGACGAGGACUUGUGACUUAUGCGAAAGGUUCAUUGAUUGGGUUGUGUUGAAACCUCUAUGACGGAUAUUAGAGGUAGACUCGAGGUGUGGUUUAUUCUCAACCGAGGGUGUCCAUGUUCGGUGCACACAACAUGAAACUGAGUGAUGAGAAUAGACGGCCUUGCGUGACUUUCGCCCGAUUUGAGUCAAUGUUAAAUUGUCUCGUGCUUGACCCAGAGGGUUGAGAAUUAAUUGAGUUGUCGUAUUUCAGGGAACGAUGGCACCGCGUAGACGACCUUCGUCUAGAUCGACUCGGGAUGGCACAGGUGAUGUCCCUGAGCAAUCCGAGGCGAGCGGAGACCAGGUGCUCCGCGAGCAGAUGAGUACGCUCAUGGGCGUAGUGUUGCGACAGGAGGAGCAGAUCAAGGAGCUCCAUGAGUUGUUGGCACGACAGACUGCAGCGGCUACGCCGGUAGCAGCACGCCGUGUACCGACAGGAGUGGCGAUGGAAUCAGGGGUAGUGGCCUCUGAUUCUGUAGAAAUGGAGGCGGAGAAAGAGCGGGCUUUGACGGCCCUAAUGACCUUCAAGAAGUUUGAUCCGCCUGUUUUCGAUGGAGAGAAUGUUGAUCCAUGGAUCGUGGAGAUGUGGAUUGACUCUAUGGAAACGCUCUUUGAGGAGCUGUACACCUUGGAGCGGGACAAGGUGCCCCUAGCUGUGCACUGUUUGAAGUUGUCGGCAAAAGUGUGGUGGAAAGGCAUUCGACGGAAUCGAUCACCUAGUCUCCCUCCUAUGGCAUGGGAUGAGUUUCGGGGAUUGGUGUUUUCAACUUACUUCCCCGACACUGAAAAGAGAAAGCUUCAGGACAGGUUCAGGAAGCUGCGGCAAGGAGACCGCUCAGUGAGAGAGUACGAACGAGAAUUCUCUCGUAUCGUGAAAUGUGUCCCAGAUGUGGUUCGGGAUGACAAGGAUAUGGCCGAUUGGUUCUUGCAUGGACUUCGACUGGAGAUUUACGAGAGGGUGCAAAUUCUUAGGCUCACGACCUUCACGGAGGUGUUGGAUCGAGCAUUGUUGGCAGAGCACGGUGAUGCUUUCGUGCGCGAGAAGCACGAGUCUUCUGAGCGUCAGUGGGGAGGGGUGAAGCCACUAUCGAGAGAUUCGGGUGGACAAUCAAGUUCCAGGCGCCACUCGAAGUCGUCCUCUAGCCGAUCCUCCCCAGGAUGCGUGAUUUGUGGUGGUUCCCACUGGGCUCGGCGGUGUGUGCUGCGCGAUGGUAGAUGCCUUCAUUGCGGGCAGCCGGGCCAUGUACGGGACGAGUGUCCACAAGGGUAUAAUCAGACCCUGAUACAGGCGACGGCCUUUUCCUCCCCAGGACAGCCUGCAGGUGUGCCACCUGCGGCAUGGUCGGAAGCGCGACCGUUGAGGAUGAUGCCACCGAGGGGCUCGCGGCGGGCAGCGGGUGACCGUGGAUACGCGACCCAGGUGGAGGAACCUACUACUGCUGACACUGUCAUGGCAGGUACGAGUUACUUAAGCAAGCAUAUGCUUCUACCUAAUAUUGGACUGUUGCAUAGCAUGCAUUUAUCAUAUGGUCAGCAGCUACUAUUUACAUAUUGCAUAGUAGGGACCGAGUGGUCGGGUAGGUGGACACCCGAGCAUGCUUGCGUCGUGAGAGUGUAGCGCCUGCUGGAGCAGGUAGAGAGCCAUGUAGUACUAACAAAUUGUUAGUGAUAGUUCCUGGACAAGAAAUGAGACUCGCAGUGAACGGGAAACGGUGAAGCGGCUCUCAAGGCAAUGAGAACCAGAUUGCGAGAGUUGCGCCGUGACGUUGAGGAUACCCUGGUAGUUCGAGCAUUUUGAAUAUGGUUCGGUAGAUCGAACAGUGAGAGUAGGAUCACUGUUGAGAAAAUAGCCAGAUAGUUAUCGAGCACGAGCAUGUGGGCCUAAUAACACCCUGAGUUGAGGUGGGCGAGUAGUGCUCGUGUAGUUGGUGUGCAUAGGCAGGUGGCCUACUGCUUGGCUUAGUUGAAACGCUAUAGAGGCGUAGAGCGCUCGAGUAUAGGUACUCGUAGAGCAUGUCGUGUAGGACGACGUUGGCGGGUAUUGCUUGGGGACGACCCGUGCCUGGACCAUUUGUGGACUGUGAAGCCUAGGCCCAUUGGGCAGGCGCAGUCAGCUGUGAGAGACAGCGGCCCUGUACCUAUAGAUAGGGCAGAGAGUUGGUCAGGACGGUAGUCCGAGCUUAGACCCGGGUGCGUGGAAUGCCACGUGUUGGAUCGUGAGAUCGAGGAUACACCUAGUGUGUUGUGACCCAACCCGAGGACUUGACGUGGUUUGGGGUCUUGGUUGCUCCUGUUUGGAGUGGGUGCGAAUUCCCAAGUGAGAAUUUUGCCCGAAAAUUGAGGAUUGGGUCUACGUUGCGAGCAGGAAAUGCUACGCAUAGUUGAGACACGUUAGGCGAUAGACCUACGUAGUGUUUGCGACCGUUGGUGUACCUGUGAAAGCCGACGUAAUCGGUUUAGCCAAUAACUCUGUGGAGGAGUUAGAGUAAGGAGAUGAAUUCUCAAAAUACGAGAGUUGAACUUCGCUCGAGAUCGACUAAUUGUCGAGUGGGAGAGCUUCGCGAAAGUCGAAGAAGUCAAAUGUACCAAAAGUGCAUUGCAAUGGAGUCCGCGAGAGCAAAUGGUGCAAGAAUCUGCACUUGGCAGAUUUGCUCUCGGGGACCGGUCCCUGGCGGGAGGGACCGGUUCCCGAAUGUGGUCUGCGCGAGCUUGCUCUCGGGGACCGGUCCCAGACAGGAAAGGACCGGUUGCCCCGAGGCUAAGGGUCGCGCAGCGCGGGGCAACCGGUCCCAGGUAAGGGAGAGACCGGUCCCCGAGUGUGGCAUUUGCCCAGGUAGGCUGGGUUAUGUUGGAGGAAUUGAGGAACUUGAGGAUAAUGCUCUAUUAUGGAUUCAGAAUCGAGAUGCGCCGGAGUAGGCCAUCUCUUGAUAGAGCAAAGAUCCAAAUAUGAUUUGAACACUCACGAUGAAGCGAUGCACAAUGAUAUUGCCUUCAAGCAAGAUUGGUAAUCGAAUUGUCAUACCCUGAGGGGAAAGUAAAUGCAAACAGAAGUUCUUGCAUGUCAAGUGGUGAAUGGUGUUGAAGCGCGUAGUGUUGUUGAGUUUCAACUUGCGCUACCACCAAGAAUGACGGAGACCCGUAAUGCACUUUUGGAAUUACACACGGCAAAUGUGAGUGAGUCUAGUCUCACGUCCUCCGUAGUGAGCCUUUGGAUAGUUCCAAUGAGCGAAAGGCCACUCCGAGAUGCAAAAGUGCAUUGUACCCCCUUGUCACUCAAUAAAGAGAAUUAGAGUGUGAAUUGGGUUGAAGUGAGUGAGUUUCGGGGCCGAAACUCUUAUUAAGGAGGGGAGGAUGUAAGGUACCGGACUUCUAAAACUGUGAAGUUACGGUGUGCAUUUAAAUGGUUCCGGUGAGGUUGCGGUGGAAUGUAACAUACCGGAUUUUAAAUAUAAAAAUGAAAAUAAAUAAAAAUAGUAUGAGAUACUAUUUUUAUUGGAUUUAGAGAAGUGAAAUAUAAGUUGGGAAUGACCUGUGCUGAAAUCAGAGCGAAAACAGAAGAUUUAGAAUUUUCUGUUGGAAACGGGGCAGAUAAAUUAGCAGAAAAUGCACAGUCUCAGAAAAUUAUGAAAAUUGGCAGAGAUGUCAGAAAUAUUUUUAUGAGGCUAGAUUUAAGGUUUCAUAUUUUUCUGACACCCGUAGAGAGAGAAAUAGAAUCCGAAAGCUAUCUGAUAAAGAUUGCAGUUCGGUACAGUUUUCAGUGACCAAACGGGGUCGAAACUGAAAUAUUAAAAUUUCUUUGGACUUAUUAAGUGAAACCGAACAUGCCUGUCAAAUUUGAGCGAAAACGGACAUCCGGAAGGGCUCCAACGAAAUUUAUCAGAUUUCAAGCUGCCCGAAGUGAAUAGUGCGUAGUUGAGGGGCAAAAUGGUAAAAAGGGUUUAAAACCCCUUUUCUUCUUCUCCUCCCAACCGUGGCUGCCCCAACCGCACACACCACACACGCAUACACAAGAACACACACGCAUGGAAAGGAAAGGAGAGAAAUCCCUUUCUCUCUCUAAAUCUCUCCCAAAAUGGAUGGAUUUGGUGGAGAUUGAAGCUUGGAGGUGGAUCGCCUUCGUCUUCUUCAUCUUCUCCAUGAUUUGGAGCUAAUUUUGAGGUAAGCUUUUGCUACCCUUUAAUGGUAGAUCCUUAAUGGUUGGUUUAAAUAGCUUAGAAAUGGAUUUAGAGGAAUCCUAGCAUGCUAUCUAGAUGAUUGAUGCUUAAUUCGUGAAGGGAUUUGAUGAUUUCUUGCAUAGUUGCAACCUGGGGCUCCAAAAUGUAAUUUUUGCUAAUAGAUGGGUUUGAUCUAUUUUGACCCUAUGUAAACCUAAUUGCUAGGUAACGAAACGCGUUGGCGAAGACGGUUCGGCAAUCCGACGAGCCGUUACAAAGUUAUUAAAGAAAUGGACGUUUAGGCUUCGUUUCCGCCUGGAGGGCCGAGGCGAUGUCGUAAAAUCAUGAAAACGGAUUUGAAGCACCGUGGCACAUAACCGAAGACCUUUAAUUUCCGGAUCGCAAAUCGGAGAUCGUUUGGGUGGUCGCGCGAGAGUUCGAGCCAAACCGGGUCGCGGGUGUCGCGGGCGGCCGAUUGCAAGUGACUACAAGCAAUCGGAGAGUAAGUUAAGGUGGGUUGUGCUUACCGAAGCGACUAGGUCGCCCUUAUGUCUAAGAAUAUUAAGAAUUCGUGUUGAUGCAUAUAAGUGUUAAACAAUGCAUGUUAAUGUGAAUGCUAAGUAGAAAUGCAUAGUGAGCAAGUUACAUAAUGCUAGUAAUGCAUGAUAAUAAUGUAAUGCUAGUAAUGCAUGAUAUGAUGUAAAUGCUAAAGUAGAUGCAUAUAAAAGAUUAUAUAUAUGCAUGUAAACUAGAAGGAUGCAUGUAAAUAUAAUGCAUAGAAUGAAAUGCAUGUUGAUGACAUAGUCUAGAAAUGCUAAAUGUAAUGUGCAUGUUAAUAUGAUAAGAAACCAUGCUAGUAAGUGAAUGCAUAUUAAUACAUAUGUGUAUAAUGAGCAUGUUGGAUAAGAUUCGUGUACAUGUAGACUCGAGAUGACAAUAGGAUGUCAAGUAGAUCGAGUGGCACCUAACCUAGUGUUAAAGAACAUAGGUUGUGAAUGAAUCUAGAGUCAUGUGAACUAGAUCGAGUGGCAUCUAACCUAGUGUAUAAAACAUAGGUUGGACAUGAAUGACAAUGAACCUAGUGUUGUUGAACCUAGGAUGAAUCAUGAGUGGCAUCUAACCUAGUGUUAAAGGACAUAGGUUAUGGAUUGAACCUAGAGUUAAGUAAACCUAGGUUAUGUGAUAGAGACGUUGAACCUAGAGUCAGUUGGACCUAGGGUGAAAAGGACGUUGGACCUAGAUAGGUCAAUGCUAUAGGGUUUGAAACCAACCCUUGAGUUAUGAAAUGGAUUCCGGAAUCCCUAGUGAUGUGGCCGCACAUGGAGCGGUGGAAAUUGUGGUAAAAGAGAUGGCAAGCGAAUCAUAACUGCAGGUAUGUGUGGUUCUCCUCGCCUGGCAGUGAUUCAACGGGUAUGUGUGGUUCUCCUCGCCCGGGAUGCCAUGAGAAUAAGCUGGAAUUGGGUAUGUGUGGUUCUCCUCGCCCAUUAGCUUAUCGGAUGAUGCCGCCUAGGUUGACUUGAACCAUUGUUGGGUGAGAGCGAUGUGGUCGCUGCCAGAUGACUAAGUUAUGACUUGAACCAUUGUUGGGUGAGGUGCGAUGAGUUCGCCGCCAGAUGGCUAAGUCAUGACUUGAGUUGUUGUUGGGUGAGAGCGAUGAGUUCGCCGCCAGAUGGUUAAGUCAGAUCUGCGGUAGGCUGCGACGGCAGCCAGGCUGAGGUGCAGCCAGUGCGCGGACUAUCCGCGGAUGAUUGACUCGAGGCCGAGUCGGGUGGUUAGCUUGAUUAGGUUAAUGGGAACCUUAUAAGCUAGUGAUCGAGGCAAGAACCUGAGGUAAUAGAGACCUUAGAAGCAAGUUGAACUUGAGUUGAGAACAUAAGGUAAUGGAAACCUUACAAUUGAAUGAAAUGACCUAAAGUAGCAAAGUAAAUGUAGAAUUAACAUAUCUACUAGUUGUUUAUGCAGUUGCAUAGUUGCAUAAUGUUCAUAUUGCAUUUGCGAGGCAAGGUAUGGUUUUAUUAAUUGCAUAGUCAAAUAUCUAUCUAUCUGUUUAUUAAACUAACCUGCAGUUGCCUCCUUGGACCUAUUGGUCGAGCUCCUCCCUUGGGUGGCCGUACCCACUGGGAACCAUGGAGUUGGUUCUCACCCCACGUUGUUUUGGGGUGUUUCAGGUUCGCACGUGAGCGGCGCGGCGGCGCGAGGAAAGGGCGUAGCUCCAUAGAUAGCGCCCUACCCAGAGACCAGAGAUAGCAAUACCCCGUCGACAUAGCCUAGGGGUUUGGAAAAUGAAAAGAAUACAAUGUAUCAAUUUGUAAUAAGUAAAUGAUGUAAUAACUUAAUUGCAUUUGAGAGUUGGAUGUAAAGUAAAUGUAUUAUUGUGAAUGCAUGUAAUAACAUAGGAUGUGUUAUGUUGUGAUACUUUCCUUAUGCAAUCAUGAUUGAUAUCUGUUCCUGGUUGGAACCCUUGUAAUGUUCAUUGUAUUGAUUGCGACGCCUAGGACGUACAGGGGAAACUCUGUCCGUUCGGCGGUCUGUCGACGCGCCCGAACUCGGCCAAAUAGGCGGGGCUCGGGGCGUGACAUCUUGUUGAUUGCUUAAUUAUACAAGUUGUUAGAGCCUUGGGCGGACAGGGAAGGCUCUGUUCGUCCGGCGUCUGUUGACGUGACCCGAACCCGACCAAAUUGGCGGGGAUUGGGGCGUGACAGCCGAUCUUCCUACUAGGUCCAAGCAGGCACAAGCAGAUAGAUAGAUAGAUAUGAAAUUGAAGUGCAACAUAGUAAGGUAAUAUGCAAC
rnacentral:lncRNA from 1 species